rnacentral:lncRNA from 1 species
GCACAGAAUAAGCGGUAGCUAUUAACAAUAUGUGAAUGCGUCGUAAAUUAUUCAACCAUUCUCCUACAGCUGGAAAUUAAGGUUGUUUUUGGUCACGCCUGUAAUCUCAGCACGUGGGGAGGCAGAGGCUGGUGGAUCCUGAGGUCAAGAGUUCGAGACCAGCCUGGCCAACAUAGUGAAACCUUGUCUCUACUAAAAAUACAAAAAAUUAGCCAGGCAUGGUGGCGGGCGCCUGUAUCACAACAAGCUAAUUUUUUGUGUUUUUUGUAGAGACGGGGUUUCAACAUGCUGCCCAAGCUGGUCUCGAAUUUCUGAUCUCAAGUCAUCUGCCCGCUUCACCCUCCCAAAGUACUGCGAUUACAGGCAUGGGCCGUGGCACACAGCCAGUGAAGCUGAUUUCUUUUUUUUUUUUUUUUUUAGAUGGAGUCUCGCUCUGUCUCUCAGGUUGGAGUGCAGUGGUGCGAUCCUGGCUCACUGCAACCUCCGCCUCCUAGGUUCAAGCAAUUCUCUUGCCUCAGCCUCCCGAGUAGCUGGGAUUACAGGCACCCGCCACCACACCCAGCUAAUUUUUGUAUUUUAGUAGAGACAGGGUUUCACCAUGUGGGCCAGGCUGGUCUUGAACUCCUGACCUCAGGUGAUCCGCCCACCUCAGCCUCCCAAAGUGCUGGAUUACAGGCAUGAGCCACGGCACCCACCCAGUGAUGCUGAAUUCUUAACCAAAAUAUAUGACUAGUUACAGCAAGUGACGGCCAGCGCUGAGUCCUGGUGACUUGAACAUUCAGUUAAAAGGAUUACCCCAUCACUGACUGUGUUUUACUCACAUGUGUUUUC